rnacentral:rRNA from 1 species
AAGUAUUGAUGGGUUACAUUUAUUUUAAUAAUGGAUUAUUAUUUGUAAUUAUUAAUAUGAAAUUGGAUUUAGGUGUAAUUUUUUUUAAAUUAUAGAUUUGAUUUUAGUUCUAAAUUAUGUACACAUCGCCCGUCACUCUCAUUUUAAGUUGAGAUAAGUCGUAACAAAGUAGGCCUACCGGAAGGUGGGCCUGGUAAGUUCAAAUUAUUCCUAAGUGGAUUUAUUAUUUACAUUAAUGAUUUUGUUGUGCGAUUCAAUAUAAUUUGAUAAUUUUUUAUUAUUGUUUUUUUGUUUGUUUUUUAAUAAAAUUAAUUUGUUUUUUAGUAUCUUUUUGAAUUAAUAUUAUUUUAUUAUAGUUAAUAGAACUGUUAAGGUUUUUAUUUAUUAUAUAAGAAGAACUUUUUUGAGGUACCUUUUGCAUCAGGGUCUAUUAAUUUAUUUAAUUUACUUUUUUUUCUCGAAAUCUUAAGAUUUAAUUGAAUAUGUUUUUUAUUGUGACAAAAAUAUUUAUAAUUUUCAUUUAGAGGUGAAAUGCUUUUCAAUUAAGAUUAUAUCUAGUUUAUUAAUAAAUAAAUUUAAUUUAGCUUUAAUUAUGAUUUAUUUAAAUUUUAUUAUUUAGAUUAUUUUAAAGUAAGAUUGUUGGGGAUAAUCUUGACUUUUUUUUUAUAAGUUGUUUUUUUAAGAUUUUUUUUAGAAUUGAAAAUUUUCUUUUUUAUUUUGUUAUAAUUAUUUAUUUUUCUGUAAUAAUUUUUUUUUACUUUAAUUUUUUAUUAAUAAUUUUUUAUUAAUUUUUUUUAAAAUUUAUAAUGAUAGAAUUAGUAAUUUUUUUAAUUUAUUUAUUGUAAUUCGGCAAAUAUAAUUUUCACCUGUUUAACAAAAACAUGGUUUGUUGAUAUUAAUUUUAGAUCGAGCCUGCCCGUUGAUUUUAUUGAAAGGCUGCGGUAUUUUAACUGUACGAAGGUAGCAUAAUCACUUGUCUUUUAAUUGGAGGCUAGAAUGAAUGGUUUGAUGAAAUAUUAUCUUUCUUUAAAUAAUUAUUUUGAAUUUUAUUUUUUAAUUAAAAAGUUGAGAUUUUUUUAUAGGACGAGAAGACCCUAUAGAAAUUUAUUAUUUUGUUUAUAUAAUUUUUUUUGUUUAUUGUAAUUUUUAUUUAUGAAAUAAUUUUGUUGGGGCGACAGUGAAAUUUAAUUAACUUUUAUUUUUUUUUUCAUUAAUUUAUGUUUUUUUGAUCCAGAUUUUUUUGAUUAUAAGAUUAAUUUACCUUAGGG